CUCACCCAUUCGUGUCUCUUCCUCCAAUCGCCCGACAACUGCGACGCUGCCCUCUCGGUCGCAGCCUCCGUCGGAACCACAGCCGUCGUCAAGCCGGGUGACUUCAAGGCUCAUGAGCAUAUGAAAAUUUCCUGUCCAUAGAUCAGACAUUUCUCUGGAGGGCCAGAUCCUGGUCAAAGGAAUGACAAAAAAUGGCUGAUGCAAAUUGGUGAUCAAUUGGCACAAAAAAAUCGUGGCGGAUAACGUGCUGCAUCAAGGUUCCAUUACAGACUGCAUGAACUACUUCCAACUUGGGUCAGAAAGUAUGGUGAAAGAACAAAAGAGCUUAAUCAGAUGUCAGUCUCUCUCUAUUGGGAAAUGCAUAAAAGACCACCCUUUUGAUGGCUUGAUGAUGCUCUUUAUGAAUAAAGCCCACAUUUGAAGUAAAGUGUUCUUAUGAUGGUUGUCUGAGCCCUUUCUUCUGGGAUGGCCCGAGGGUAACUUAAUGUAAACGCCAGGUUUGUGGUGGGGAUUCACAACAAGAAUCCCAGGUGCGAGGCGGCUUUUGAUCUUUUCCACCUCCUUGGAUCCGAUCUGGAAGGCCCGGGCGAGGACGUGGUCGGGCACCGGCGGGGUAGCUGCGAAGAGUGCAACGGCGAUGGACUGGGUGCCAGGAAGCUGGCUGUUGAAGGCGGCGAUGACGGCGGCAGGAGCGGCACCGUUGUUCUUCUGGAAGUGAACGAGCCCCCUGGGAAAGACGAACACCUCGCCCUUGGUAAUGGUCUUGGCUAUCAGCUUGUUGGCAGUGGUGAUGAAGCCGACGUCGAGGGUGCCGUCGAGGACGAAGACGACCUCGGUGGCACGAGGGUGGGUGUGGGGCGGGUUCAGCCCGCCGGGGGCGUAGUCAACGCGCGAUAGGGAGACGCCGAGCGUGUUCAGCCCGGGGAUCUUCUCGACGUUGGCGGCCGUCACCAGGGUGCCCAUGGUGUUGUUGGUGGCGCCGGCCGUCGCCAGCCCCUUGAAGAAGAAGUCCGCCUCUGUGACUUUUGCCGCAGGCUUGCAUGCGAAGCCAAACAACUUGACGUCUGCAGUAGCGAUCAGCUUAUAAGAGCAGGAACACGCCAUGAUCAUACACGAGAAGAGAUCAUGAAAGGGGGACGAAGUGUGAUGUUACCCGAGUUAAGAUCUGCUACGCAGAUGUCUUGGAGCUGGUCAGGAUCUGCGACAAGGCAGGGAGGGAGGACGAGGAAGAGGGAGAAGAGGAUGAGGAGGGAAAACGUGGCCAUAGCUGGUGACUUGAGUUUUAGGCUGUGGUGGGUAAAUAGAUGGGUGUAGAAGGCACGAGAAGGGUGACAAGGGAGAUGGUAUUUAUAGGAAGAGGGUUGAAGUGGUACUGAAGGAAUGAAAUGGUCCUUGGCAAGCUGUGAUGGUAUGAUACCGAAGGCAUGAAAUGAGCCUCGAACGAAAAAAAGAAAAAGGGAGGUGGUGGCAAUUAAAUAAGCAACGAAGAAAUCCAAAAAAUAUUAAUAGGAAGAGGCACUAUGGGACUGUGCUAGACCACCAUCUAAUAAUGGUUUAAUGAUCAUCUUGGAUUAAGAGGGUUGGGGAUUUUUUUUUUUUUUUUACUUUAAGGAUAAGUGAUUAGGAUCAGAUUUGUUUAAAGAUGAUAGUAUUAUUGUGUCACGUUCUUUGUUAGGAUUGUCUUUAAGGCAUCCAAACGAUACCUGCAUGUAAAGGGUCAAUGUAGAAUUUAACCUUGUGUAGUCUAACAA